GCCAGGUGUGGUGGUGCAUGCCUGUAGUCCCAGCUACUUGGGAGGCUGAGGUGGGAGAAUCACCUGAGCCCAGGAAAUUUAGGCUACAGUGAGCUGAGAUCACUCCACUGUACCCCAGCCUGGGCGACAGAGCAAGACCCUGUCUCAA
rnacentral:SRP_RNA from 1 species